rnacentral:rRNA from 1 species
CAAUAGCGUAUAUUAAAGUUGUUGCGGUUAAAAGCUCGUAGUUGGAUUUCUGUUAGGGACGACCGGUCCGCACUAUGUGCGUGUAUCUGGCUCGGCCUUGGCAUCCUCCUGGGGAACGGUGCUGCGCUUGAUUGCGUGGUCCGGUAUUCAGGACUUUUACUUUGAGGAAAUUAGAGUGUUUACGGCAGGCAAUCGCCUUGAAUAUAUUAGCAUGGAAUAAUACUAUAGGACCUUGGUUCUAUUUUGUUGGUUUCUAGAACUAAGGUAAUGAUUAAUAGGGAUAAUUGGGGGCAUUCGUAUUAACACGUCAGAGGUGAAAUUCUUGGAUUGUGUUACGACGAACUACUGCGAAAGCAUUUGCCAAGGAUGUUUUCAUUGAUCAAGAACGAAAGUGCGGGGAUCGAAGAUGAUCAGAUACCAU